rnacentral:misc_RNA from 1 species
GAAAUGCGAUACGUAAUGUGAAUUGCAGAAUUCAGUGAAUCAUCGAGUCUUUGAACGCACAUUGCGCCCCCUGGUAUUCCGGGGGGCAUGCCUGUCCGAGCGUCAUUGCUGCCCUCAAGCACGGCUUGUGUGUUGGGCUUCCGUCCCUGGCAACGGGGACGGGCCCAAAAGGCAGUGGCGGCACCAUGUCUGGUCCUCGAGCGUAUGGGGCUUUGUCACCCGCUCCCGUAGGUCCAGCUGGCAGCUAGCCUCGCAACCAAUCUUUUUAACCAGGUUGACCUCGGAUCAGGUAGGGAUACCCGCUGAACUUAAGC